UACAUAGGUGGCGAACGUUAUCCGGAAUUAUUGGGCGUAAAGCGCGCGCAGGCGGACCAUUAAGUUGGGCGUGAAAUCUCCCGGCCUAACUGGGAGGGGUCGCCCAAGACUGGUGGUCUUGAGGACAGCAGAGGUGGGUGGAAUUCCUGGUGUAGUGGUGAAAUGCGUAGAGAUCAGGAGGAACACCGGUGGCGAAGGCGGCCCACUGGGCUGUAACUGACGCUGAGGCGCGAAAGCCAGGGGAGCGAACGGG
rnacentral:rRNA from 1 species